CAGGUCCAUUGUGGUGAGAAAAUCUGUGCCUUUCAGAGCUGACUCUCUGUUAAAGAACCGUGGUAAAGCCAGAGCUGAGUGCCCAGCCUCCUGGCCAGCAUGGCAGUGGCUUUGAGGAGUGAAGGCCACUCCAUUAACCCUUCUCUCCAUUGCACAGAGCCCUGAUCCUGCCUCACAAGGAUGUCUUUGGCUGUGGCUGGUUUGUUUGCAUUGAGCUAUUCACUGAGAAACAGUGGGAUGUGUCUUCUGUGCACUUUGGCUGAGACUUCCCUCCAGCACAGGAGAUGUGGGAACAGUCUCCCCAUGUCCUUUUCCCAGUGGGUGAACUUGUUGAGAUGAUUUUCACAGUGCCUGCUCAGAAAAAUAAUGCUUGUGUGCCUUCGUCUGCUAGAAGAGGAGCUGCUGAAGGGCUGUGGGCUGUCAUCACAGGGUCAGUCAGCAUUACUGGACUGCUGCAGCUUCUGUAAUAGGAGUGUGGUCACUGACCACAACAGUGGAAGAGCUGAGUCCUGCUGCCUCUUCCUUGAUAUGGGAACCUCCAGCAGUAAUGGGGGAAAUCUCCAUCUGCCCCAUCCACCUGCUUCCAACUACGACCUUCAGCUCUGAGAAAGUGUGAUUCUUCUUCAAAUACCGGCAUGGUCUGCUGGGAGGUGUCCCUGCCCAUAGCAGCGUCUGGAAGGUCAUCUUACAGGUCCCUUCCACUCCAUACCAUUCUGAGUCUGUGAUGAUACCCAAACUAACAGUAUGCGUAUGCUGCAUCACUGCAGCUAUUUAGUUAAAUGCUCUCCAAGUGAGGUUGUUUCUUUGCAAUUGCAUGUUUGGCUCAUAAGGGUGGUCUGUUUUCUGAAAGAAUGGCAGAGGAAGGGCAACCUGGUACCUGGAUGCAUAUGCCAGCAAAAAAGGGCUCUGCAGCUGCUGCAUUACACAGAGCAACUGCUUCAUUCACUGCCCACUCCUAAUAACAAAUGGGCGCAGUCAGCCUUUCAGACAAUCUUCCUUUAAUACAAAGUCAAUAUAUCUACAUACACUGUGGUAUGAAAACCACUUAAUGUUUCAGUUUGAAAUAACAGUGUGAAAGCAACAGCACUUUGCUCUCAUACAAAGGAAAAAAAAACAAAACCUUCCCCCACCCCACCCCGACUCUUCCAGUAAGAUUUUGCUGCAACAUACUUAGAAAUUUGGGCAACUUUCACACAAAUAAGAAGUAAAAUCUCGAAGAAGCCUUUUGUUCUUUUUUUUUCAGUUAAAGAUGGGAAAUGGAUUGUUGUGGGGUUUUCUGGGUAGCACUCAAUGACAAUAUUUACCCCUUCUAGAAAAAUAAAAAAGCCACAAGCAAGCAGUGCUCUGGGCAGUGCAUCUUUUCCAACACAUGCUGUCCUCUGUGCACUUCUGCAAGGAGACUCCUUGUCCUGUACUCCUGUUAAACAUCUCCAAUCUUCACCCUAGUGCACAGACAAGGUUAGGCUCUUACCUCCAUUACACUGCUGAUGUUUCAAAGCUGCGUGCUUGCCCACGUGUGCUGUGGCUCUGAAGCUGCUGCCCUUUUGUUUUCAGUCCUAAGACACUGGAAUUUUUUUAAUCUCCCAGUUCACCCCUGGCCCUGGUAGGAUGGAGCAGCACGGCCACAGCUGAAGGGGAGGAGGUUGGCACUGCCACCAGGUCUGGGCCUGCCUGCUGAUCUCACACCCUUCCAAAGACACGUGAUAUGUCUGAGAUUUUAAACAAAACAAACAGAAAGGAAUAAUCCAGAAAGGACAUUUUGUUCUUACAUGAGCAAGUUAAACCUUUUAAAUGGUAGAAAAGCAAUAUGUAGAAGUAGCAAUUUGCACUGCAUUUUUAUAUAUCACAGCCAUUACACGUAACAUUUCUACAGUGAAAAAAUAGACUGUCUUUGAACAUAAUAUGAACAAAUAAGCAUUUUUUUUUUCUUUUAAAUUCAUUGACUGAUAUUCUUUGUCUUUAAAAAAAAAAAAAAA